UGCGUAGGCGGGCUAAUAAGUCAGUGGUGAAAUCUUCCGGCUCAACCGGGAACCUGCCAUUGAUACUGUUAGUCUUGAGUUCGGUUGAGGUAGGCGGAAUGUGUAAUGUAGCGGUGAAAUGCUUAGAUAUUACACAGAACACCAAUUGCGUAGGCAGCUUACUAGACCGACACUGACGCUGAGGCACGAAAGCGUGGGGAGCGAAUAGGAUUAGAUACCCUGGUAGUCC
rnacentral:rRNA from 1 species